UACGUAGGGCGCAAGCGUUAUCCGGAAUUAUUGGGCGUAAAGAGCUCGUAGGCGGUUUGUCGCGUCUGCCGUGAAAGUCCGGGCUCAACUCCGGGAUCUGCGGUGGGUACGGGCAGACUAGAGUGAUGUAGGGGGAGACUGGAAUUCCUGGUGUAGCGGUGAAAUGCGCAGAUAUCAGGAGGAACACCGAUGGCGAAGGCAGGUCUCUGGGCAUUAACUGACGCUGAGGAGCGAAAGCAUGGGGAGCGAACGG
rnacentral:rRNA from 1 species